UACGUAGGUCCCGAGCGUUGUCCGGAUUUAUUGGGCGUAAAGCGAGCGCAGGUGGUUUAUUAAGUCUGGUGUAAAAGGCAGUGGCUCAACCAUUGUAUGCAUUGGAAACUGGUAGACUUGAGUGCAGGAGAGGAGAGUGGAAUUCCACGUGUAGCGGUGAAAUGCGUAGAUAUAUGGAGGAACACCGGUGGCGAAAGCGGCUCUCUGGCCCGUAACUGACACUGAGGCUCGAAAGCGUGGGGAGCAAACAGG
rnacentral:rRNA from 1 species